rnacentral:tRNA from 1 species
AAGGGAGACCUAAUUCAGGUAGGAGACGAAAAAAAAGUAGUCCCUACCAAGAAUUAAUCCCAAAAGGUCGGAGCGAGGCAAAAUUGGCUUUCAAACUAGGUUCUGGGUUCACACAAGACCUGAAUCAGGAACAAGGGCUAUUAGCUCAGGUGGUUAGAGCGCGCCCCUGAUAAGGGUGAGGUCCCUGGUUCGAGUCCAGGAUGGCCCACCUGUACAGGUGGCAAAAACAAAGAAAAGAAGCGAGGAAUCAGCACCUUAUCUUACUUAUAUAGUAAGAGAGAAUGCUGGCUCUGAGUUCAGAGUCCAGAGGAACCUUGAAAACUGCAUAGAGCUAGGUGAAAAAGCCAAAAAAGAAGACCACAA